GGGCCUGUAGCUCAGUCGGUUAGAGCGCUUCCCUGAUAAGGAAGAGGCCGCUGGUUCAAGUCCAGCCAGGCCCA
rnacentral:tRNA from 1 species